rnacentral:rRNA from 1 species
AGAGUUUGAUCAUGGCUCAGAUUGAACGCUGGCGGCAGGCCUAACACAUGCAAGUCGAACGGUAACAGAAAGCAGCUUGCUGCUUUGCUGACGAGUGGCGGACGGGUGAGUAAUGUCUGGGAAACUGCCUGAUGGAGGGGGAUAACUACUGGAAACGGUAGCUAAUACCGCAUAACGUCGCAAGACCAAAGAGGGGGACCUUCGGGCCUCUUGCCAUCGGAUGUGCCCAGAUGGGAUUAGCUAGUAGGUGGGGUAAAGGCUCACCUAGGCGACGAUCCCUAGCUGGUCUGAGAGGAUGACCAGCCACACUGGAACUGAGACACGGUCCAGACUCCUACGGGAGGCAGCAGUGGGGAAUAUUGCACAAUGGGCGCAAGCCUGAUGCAGCCAUGCCGCGUGUAUGAAGAAGGCCUUCGGGUUGUAAAGUACUUUCAGCGGGGAGGAAGGGAGUAAAGUUAAUACCUUUGCUCAUUGACGUUACCCGCAGAAGAAGCACCGGCUAACUCCGUGCCAGCAGCCGCGGUAAUACGGAGGGUGCAAGCGUUAAUCGGAAUUACUGGGCGUAAAGCGCACGCAGGCGGUUUGUUAAGUCAGAUGUGAAACCCCCGGGCUCAACCUGGGAACUGCAUCUGAUACUGGCAAGCUUGAGUCUCGUAGAGGGGGGUAGAAUUCCAGGUGUAGCGGUGAAAUGCGUAGAGAUCUGGAGGAAUACCGGUGGCGAAGGCGGCCCCCCUGGACGAAGACUGACGCUUCAGGUGCGAAAGCGUGGGAGCAAACAGGAUUUAGAUACCCUGGUAGUC